AACAGACACCUGUCUUAAAUAUCCUAGGCUUAUUUCAAAAUAGAGAGAAUGUCAAUUGGCUUAAAGAAAGAUUUUAUAAGCAUCAACCCCUGGAUUUCUUUUAAGGAUACAGAAGUACAGGAGAUGCUCCGUAAUCUGGCAAAGAAGGCUGGCUGGACAUGAAAUGUUAUGGGGGUUAUGUCUAGCUUUGGAUCCACUGAAUUCAC